CCUCUCCCCUGCGCACCCACAGAGAAGAGAUGGGAUUUCAUCAUGUUGGCUAGGCUGAUCUCAAACUCCUGACCAGGUGAUCCGCCCGCCUCGGCCUCCCAAAGUGCUGAGAUUACAGGGGAAGCACCUAGAGGUGAAAGAACCGGCCCACUCCACAGGUCUAGGAAACGGAGGAGCUGGACAUGAAAUGACAAGGUAGGGCCGGUGGCCUGGCUUGGCCAAGCAGCACAGAGACCGGGCUAUCAGCCUCGCAGAGUGGGGUGUGCCCAUCUCCCACGGGGCUGUGUGCCCAAGGGAAGUGUCAGGGGAGGCACUGGCUGCUCCUGCCCCCUUCAGCUGCAGCUGCUGGUUCCCAUAGGUCAGCCCCGCCCACCAGGCAGCCAAGGCCCUGCCCUUCCCAGGGUUGCUCUGCCUGGCCUCCUGGCUCUGCUGGGCAGAACCAGGGCCUUGGUUUGGACUCCUUGCCUCUCAUGCCUGCAGCCUCAGGCCUGUGCUCCUGCUGGCAUCCAGGCUACUCCUGCGUGGUGUCCAUAUUUGACCCCAGAGUUACACACGCCCAGCCACUCCUCCUCUCUCCACCAAGGUGGCACCACAUUCCCAGAAGAAAGUGGACCAAAGGGACAGAGGCUGUCAGGACACAUGAAUGCAGCAAGGGAUUCUCAGGAUCCUCAAAGUUUAGGAUCUAGUUUCCUCUCCCUGAUCAUUUUAUUUUACUUUAUUUAUUUAUUUUAUUUUAUUUAGACGGAGUCUUGCUCUGUCACCCAGGCUGGAAUGCAGUGGCAUGAUCUCGGCUCACUGCAGGUUCAAGCGAUUCUCCUGCCUCAGCCUCCCGAGUAGCUGGGACUACAGGUGCCUGCCACCACACCUGGCUAAUUUUUGUAUUUUUAGUAGAUAUGGGGUUUCACCGUGUUAGCCAGGCUGGUCUUGAACUCCUGACCUCAAGUGAUCCGCCCGCCUUGGCCUCCCAAAGUGCUGAGAUUAUAGGCAUGAGCCAUCGUGCCUGGCCCCUGCUCAUUUUAGAGACAGGAAGACUGAGGCUGGGAGGACAAGAGAUUGGCCAAAGUCCGGUGAGUAGAGCAGAGCAGAGCAGGUGGAAUUCUCUGGGCUGGCCUGGGUGCUGUGGCUUGGGAGGUGAGGGACGGGUUGAGGGAUGGUGUGAGCAGCAGACUGUGUGCAGACCUGGGAGUCGUAUAGCUGCAGGGGUGGCUGGAAGAUCCCCGAACGCAGGGCAGGUUGGAGGGGUGGGAAUUUCCAGGUGUGUGUGGCACUCCCCACCCCUGCCUGGCUCCCCUCGACCCUCAUAUGACAGACGUCCCAAGGCCCCCACUCCCUCCACACUUGGGCAGGUGCCCUUCCUGGCCACCCUUCACCUGCAGCACUUAACAUGUACACAAUCUUUCCCUGAGCCCGGAGGGCCCUGAUUUAAGAUGCCAGAAAGAAAAGUUAGGAAUGAAAAUGGGAGACCUUAUCUUUAUUCUUCCCCUUUCCGAUCUCCUCUGGGCCCCCUGGCUUACUGCCAACAGACAGAUGGGAGACUGGGAAGAAUAUUUUGGUGGGAGGGAGUGGUGCUUGCAGACAGAUGGAUGCUAGCUCUGCCUCUGAAACCUGUUGCUCUGACCUACUGAGCUGCCGUUCUCCACGGAGACUCCCAGGAGAGAUAGGAGGAGCCAAGGAUAGCUGCCUUCCCUGGCCAGAAUCCAACCCUAAAUGACACUUGGCAUGUUAAAAAAUACUUGUCAAGGCCACAGGGUUCUGAUGAAUCUUGUUUUCUUUUUCUGCCCUGCUUUCUUCCAAAAAGGAUUAGCGGCAGCUUACAAAAAUUCAUAAAAUACAAUAGGAUAAAAAUAGAUCAGAGAGAAAACAACACUGGAACACAUGGUACAAUGAACCAAGAGGGUAGGACACAGAAAUGUUCUUUGGCUGGGCCUCCACAAUCCUCAAAGGUGGGCUGCAAACAGGAUUCUGAGCUUCCUAUCAGUCAAAACAAAGAGGGGAAUCUGCCGGUUUUGAGACUCACAGAGUCCACAAGAUUAAGACCAACCCCGGCCGGGUGCAGUGGCUCAUGCCUGUAAUCCUAGCACGCUAGGAGACCAAGGUGGGUGGAUCACAUUAGGCCAGGAGUUCGAGACCAGCCUGGUCAAUAUGGUGAAACUCCGCUUAAAAUUAGCUGGGCAUGGUGGCAGACACCUGUAAUCCCAGCUACUCGGGAGACUGAGGCAGGGGACUCACCGAAGCCUGGGAGGUGGAAUUUGCAGUGAGCUGAGAUUGUGCCACUGCACUCCAGCCUGGGCAACAGAGCAAGAUUCUGACUCAAUUAAAAAACAAAACAAAACACUCAACCUAGAAGCAGUGCAGCUAUUUCUGACACUAAAGUCUGAGAGGAAUUCUCAUGGGACCUUUGACGGGAUGAGGUGUAGUGUCCCAAGCAACACCGUCAACAACAGUCCUUUUUUGUUUUAGAGGCAGGGUCACUCAGUCUUGCUGUCUCCCAGGCUGGAGUGCAGUGGCAUGAUCUCAGCUCACUGCAACCUCCGCCUCCUGGAUUCAAGUGAUUCUCCUGCCUCAGCCUCCCGAGUAGCUGGGACUACAGGCUCACGCCACCACACCUGGCUAUGUUUUGUAUUUCUUGGUGGAGACGGGGUUUCACUGUGUUGGCUGGGCUGGUCUCAAAUUCCUCACCUCAAGUGAUCUGCCUGCCUCAGCCUUCCAAAGUGCUGGGAUUACAGGUGUGAGCCACCAUGCCUGGCAAAUUUUUGUUGUUUAUAAGCCACUCAGAUUGUGGUAUAUUGUUUAUAGCACCCCAAAUGGACUAAGUAAGACACAGAUACAGUCACACAAACCCUAUCAGCUGCUUUCUACAGAGUUACUCAGGAUAAACCGAGGCCUGAUGCUAAGGCACAGAACAGUAAAACCCACUCUAUGGAGGGCCAGACCCGCACGAUCCAAGAGACACAAUUUAGAUUCUCCCAGAGAAGGGCUUCUCAACCCAACACUAUUGAUAUUUGGGGCUGGCUCAUUCAUUGUUAUUGGGGACUGACCUGUGCACUGUAGUGUGUUUGCAGCAUCCCUGGCCUCUACCUGGUAGAUGCCAAGCACUCCCUCAAAUUGUGACAGUUAAAAAUGUCCUCAGACCGGGCUCGGUGGCUCAUGCCUGUAAUCCCAGCACUUUGGGAGGCCAAGGCAGUUGGAUCACUUGAGCCCAGGAGUUUAAGACCAGGAGUUCAAGACCUGGCCAACAUGGUGAAACCAGGUCUCUACAAAACAUAUAAAAAAUUAGCCAGGUGCGGUUGUGCCCACCUAGUGCUCCCAGCUACUGGGGAGGCUGAGGUGGGAGGAUGGCUUAAGCCCAGGAGGUUGAGGCUGCAGUAAGCCGUGCUCACACCACUGCACUCCAGCCUUGGCAACAGGGUGAGACCCUGUCUCAAAACAAAAAAGUCCCCUGACAUUGCCAAAUGCCCUAUUAGGGGCUGAAAACCGCUGCUCUUAAAGGAGGAGUGAGCCACUUUCUGAAAAGGUUGGUGCAAAAGUGAUUGAGGGUCGUGCACGGUGGCUCACGCCUGUAAUCCCAGCACUUCGGGAGGCCAAGGAGGGCGGAUCACUUGAGGUCAGGAGUUCAAGACCAGCCUGGCCAACAUGGCAAAACCCUGUCUCUACUAAAAAUACAAAAAUUAGCUGGGCAUGGAGGCGCAAACCUGUAACCACAGCUACUUGGGAGGCUGACGCAGGAGAAUUGCUUGAACCCGGGAGGCGGAGGUUGCAAUGAGCCAAGGUCAUGCCACUGCACUCCAGGCUCUGCCUCAAAAAAAAAGAGAAAAAAGAUGUAAUUGCAUUUUUUGUCAUUAAAAGUACUGGCAAAAUAUAAAGACCAAUUUAAGACAAAUAAAAGUGUUUUCAGGGCCGGGCAUGGUGGCUCAUGCUUGUAAUCCCAGCACUUUGGGAGGCUGAGGCAGGCGGAUCACAAGGUCAGGAGUUUGAGACCAGCCUGACCAACAUGGUGAAACCCUGUCUCUACUAAAAAUACAAAAAUUCGCUGGAAGUGGUGGUGUGUGCCUGUAAUCCCAGCUACUCAUGAGGCUGAGGCAGGAGAAUCAGUUGAACCCAGGAGGCAGAGGUUGCAGUGAGCCGAGGUCGCGCCACUGCACUCCAGCCUGGGCAGCAGAGUGAGACUCUAUCUCAAAAAAAAAAAAAAGAUUUAUGCAGUCCCUUGAGGAAAAAUGUAUAUACUUACAUGUUUUAAUUGCCUACCGGAUUGAGAAAAUCGGCACUUCCUAUUAGCCAGUAAAAUGUUUCUAUGUGGGUAUACUUGAGAAGUGGCUGUACCAAGGCAGCUUUCUAAUUUUUCAUCCUGAAGUCAGAUUGAGGAUUGUAUUGAGAAGGUGGCACGGGCCAGAGGGCUUCUCCUUGCAGAUCGAGAGCAGUGAGAGGACUGUGUCAUCUCCUGGCCGACUUGAAGACAAUCCUGCAUCAAUAUCAUUUCUCACAACUGUGGUUCUUCCCCAACCCUCCACCAAAUCCAGGUUGACUGCAAAGAGUUUGCUGUUGUAUUCUCUGAAAAAAAGAAAACUAUAGUGCAGAUUCCUUUAUUCAUCAGAUAUGUACUGAGCCCCUGCCAUGCUCCAAGCACUCUGGGACGUGUUGGGAGGUAUAACAGUAGGCAAAGCCAACACAGUCCCAGGGUGGCACUAUAACUUGUGUGGACCCCUUCCUCCAUAAAAAUUGUGAAAAUUAUAUUUAUGACUCUGUUGCUAUAAACCUACAGGUUUGCAUAUUUUCUUCUGAUUUUUUUUUUUUUUUUUUUUUUUUGAGAGGGAGUCUCGCUCUGUCACCCAGCCAGGCUGGAGUGCAGUGGUACAAUCUCAGCUCACUGCAACCUCUGUCUCCUGGGUUCAAGCGAUUCUCCUGCCUCAGCCUCCCGAGUAGCUGGGAUUAUAGGUGCGUGCCACCAUGCAGGGCUAAUUUUUGUAUUUUGGUAGAGACAGGGUUUCACCAUGUUGGUCAGGCUGGUCUCGAACUCCUGACCUCGUCAUCUACCCGCCUCGGCCUCCCAGAGUGCUGGGAUUGCAGGUGUGAGCCACCGCGCCCAGCUAUUUUCUUCUGAUUUUAAAAGAAAUUAAAACACGUUUGUGGGCCCCUAAAAGGGCAGAGGGCCCUGGCACUGUGUCUACUGAACUGUUGCCAAAGUCACCCGGAUGGGCCUUGGCCUUAAGGCUUUGGGUUGGAGGGUUUGGGAAACAGACACCCAACAAGCAAGAAGAUAAGUAAAAGCAGCAAACACGGUACUGAUUUGAUGGAAACACACAUCUAGAUGCUGGGAGGGAGAGUAACGCUUGGAGGGAGAAUAACCUGGGCCUCACUUUGGAUAAGGUCAUUGGGGGCUGGGUGUGGUGGCUCACGCCUGUAAUGCCAGCAUCUUGGGAGGCCAAGGUAGGAGGAUCGCUUGAGCCCAGGAGUUUGGGCAACAUAGUGAGACUCCAUUUCUACAAAAAAUAAGCUAGCUGGGCAUGGUGGUGCAUUCCUGUAGCCCCCGCUACUUAGGAGGCUGAGGUGGGAGGAUCACUUGAGCCCAGAAGUCGAGGCUGCAGUGAGCCAUGAUCGUACCACUGUACUCCAGCCUGGGGUACAGAGUGAGACCCUGUCUCAGAGGUCAUGGGGGAUAGGUGCUCCCUGAAAAAGUGGCAUUUAAAUCAGACAGAGGAUGAGGAGUCUGGGAGGUGAAGGGUGGGGACAAGCAUGUUUAGAGAAUCAAAGAUUCACCUAGCUUUUGGCCUGAGCGUCUGGGCAGUUUCACUCUUUCUGAGCAGGAAAGACUGAGGGAAGAAUGGAUUCGGGGUAGUUCGAGUUUGAUCUCAGAUACACGGAAGCCGAUUCAAAUGGAAAUGGCAAGCUGUUGUGAAGCGAGUGUUAUGGACCAAAUGUUUGUGUCCUCUCAAAAGUCACACAUGGAAGCCUUAAUCCCAAUGUGAUGGUAUUAGGACUUGGAGGUCUUUGGGAAGUGAUUAGGUUUAGGUGAGGUCCUGAGCGUGGAGACCCCAUGAUGGAAUCAGUGUCUUUGUAGAAAAGAAUGAGGCCAGCGUUCAGUCUCUCUCUCCUCACCUCAUAAGGACACAGCAAGAAGGUAGCCAUCUGCCAGCCAGUAAGAGAGCCCUCCCUGGGAACAAAACCUGCCAGCACCUUGAUCUUGGACUUCCUAGAACUAAGAGAAAUAAGGGUCUGUUGCUUUUUUUUUUUUUUUUUUUUUUUUUUUUUUUUUGAGACGGAGUCUCGCUCUGUCACCCAGGCUGGAGUGCGGUGGCGCGAUCUCGGCUCACUGCAAGCUCCGCCUCCCAGGUUCACGCCAUUCUCCUGCCUCAGCCUCUCCCAGUAGCUGGGACUACAGGCGCCCGCCACCACGCCCGGCUAAUUUUUUGUAUUUUUAGUAGAGACGGGGUUUCACCGUGGUCUCGAUCUCCUGACCUCGUGAUCCGCCCGCCUCGGCCUCCCAAAGUGCUGGGAUUACAAGCGUGAGCCACCGCGCCCGGCGUUUUUUUUUUUUUUUGGAGUUUCGCUCUGUUGCCCAGGCUGGAAUACAAUGGCACCAUCUCAACUCACUGCAACCUCCGCCUCCCAGGUUCAAGUGAUUCUCCUGCCUCAGCCUCCCAAGUAGCUGGGAUUACAGACAUAGGACAAUAUGCCCGGCUAAUUUAUGCAUUUUUAGUAGAGAUGGGGUUUCGCCAUGUUGGCAGGGCUGGUCUCGAACUCCUGAUCUCAGGUGAUCCACCUGCCCCAGCCUCCCAAAGUGCUGGGAUUACAGGUGUGAGCCACUUCGCCCAGACAAACGUCUGUUGUUUAAAUCACUCUCUACAGUAUUUUGUUACAGCAGCCCGAGCUGACUAAGACAAGGGGCAACUGUCUCCUUGUCUGCAGAAAACACAUCCAGGAGUGGGAGCCGUCAGGUGAGAACAUGGAAUUCAAAGCCCCACCAAGAGGAGAGAGCAAAGACAGCGCUGAGUCAGCGGCCGGGCUUGGUGGCUCACGCCUGUAAUCCCAGUACUUUGAGAGGCUGAGGCGGGUGGAUCACGAGGUCAGGAGAUCGAGACCAUCCUGGCUAAUACAGUGAAAUCCCGUCUCUACUAAAAAUACAAAAAAUUAGCCGGGCAUGGUGGCAGGCGCCUGUAGUCCCAGCUACUCGGGAGGCUGAGGCAGGAGAAUGGCGUGAACCCGGGAGGCAGAGUUUGCCGUGAGCCGAGAUGGCGCCACUGCACUCCAGCCUGGGCGACAGAGAGAGACUCCGUCUCAAUAAAAAAAUAAAAAUAAAUUUAAAAAAGACAGCGCCGAGUCUGAUCAGCCCCCGACCGGAGGGAAGGUCAGGAUGUUGGUGGUGGGGGGGGCCUUGGUCCACCAUGCUCUACUGAGUCUCCCUCCAGCACCCCCUCCAGGGUCAGGGCAGUUUAUCCAGACGGGGAAUGAUUGGGGCCCGCGCUCUGCCUCCCACUCCCCCUGCCCAUGCUCACUGGGCUUUGUACACAGAGUGGGUACAAUUGACUCUUUGUCAAUAGUUGGGGCCUGGAGGGUUUUUCCAUCGUACUCUCUGUCCGCCUCAUGAGCCAAUAAUUAUUUAGAGAUAACAAACCGGAGGGCGAUCUGUGGUGAUGAAAAUAUAGUUUUUCUUCCAGACUCAAUUGACCCGAAGACAGAUCAAACUUGUGACCUUGAACCCACCAUCCAUCAAAGUGAGUGCCCCAGGCCACGGCUGGGAGAAUUAAUCCAACACAGUGUCCACCGUCAGCGGGCGGGUCCCUGCUCUAUAGAAACUUCCCUCACCCCUCCUCCCCAUGGGGGGUAGGGGGUCAUGCAUCUCCAGGGGAACACAGGACCAUCCGUUAGGGCAUAGGAAUAAAUGUUAAAACUUUGUUGAUAAUUGUGGUUUAUCUUGACCUGCAUUUUUCCUGUUUCAGAAAGUACAGAAUAAAGCAGGACUGGGGAAAGACACCUCCUUUCUUGGAGCUGCUUUACUUCUUUUUUUUUUUUUAAUUUUCCUUUUCUUUCUUUUUUUUUUUUUCGAGAUGGAGUUUUGCUCCUGUUGCCCCUGGCUGGAGUACAGUGGUGCAAUCUCAGCUCACUGCAACCUCCACCUCCCGGGUUCGACCGAUUCUCCUGCCUCAGCCUCCCGAGUAGCUGGGAUUACAGGCAUGCGCCACCACGCCUGGCUCAUUUUUGUAUUUUUAGUAGAGAUGGGGUUUCACCAUGUUGGUCAGGCUGUUCUCAAACUCCUGACCUCAGGUGAUCCGCUUGCCUUGGCCUCCCAAAGUGCUGGGAUUACAGGCAUGAGCCACUGUGCCUGGCCACUUCUUUCUUUUUUCUUUUGAGAUGGAGUCUCCCUCUGUGGCUCAGGCUGGAGUACAAUGGCACAAUCUUGGCUCACUGCAACACCCACCUCCCAGGUUCAAGUGAUUCUCCUGCCUCAGCUUCCCAAGUAGCUGGGAUUACAGGCACCCACUACCACACCCGGCUAAUUUUUGUAUUUUUAGUAGAGAUGGGGUUUCACCAUGUAGGCCAGGCUGGUCACAAACUCCUGACCUCAAGUGAUCCACCAGCCUCGGCCUCCCAAAGUGCUGGGAUUACAGGUGUGAGCCACCGCACCCGGCCUGGAGCUGCUUUUCAGCCAAUUCUAGACUCUGGCACUUGGCUGCCGGAUGUCCUUCUUUCAUGCCUUCUCCAGAGAGUGGCCCCAGGAAUUUGCAGCCAGAGGGCUCUUUCUAAAAUGCAAAUCUCGACCAGCGCAGUGGCUCACUGCGCUGGAGUAAUUCCAGAUCUUUGUAAUCCCAACCCUUUGGGAGGCCGAGGCAAGAGGAUCACUUGAGGUCAGGAGUUUGAGACCAGCCUGGCCAACAUGGUGAAACCUCGUCUCUGCUACAAAUACAAAAUUUAGCCGGGCGUGGUGAAGCACACCCAUAAGUCCAGCUAUUCAGGAGGCUGAGGCAGGAGAAUCGCUUGAACCCAGGAGGUGGAGGUUGCGGUGAGCAAGACUGUACCACCACACUCCAACCUGGAUGACAGAGACUCCAUCUCAAAAAUAAAAAAUAAAGUAAAAAUGCAAAUUUCA